AGGUGCAUCGGCCAUUCAUCUUAAGGGUACUAUAGUUUGACAAUAAUAUAACUUGGUCUCCUAGCCAUACGGAGUCUUAAGAUGUAUGUUGGCCGCAGUAUGUUCAUUGUAAGAUUUGGAUUGCAUCAAGAUGGAAUCUAUCGACUUCAGUAAAGGACUAGUCCUAUGUAGAUCAUGAGAUUGAGUCUAUAAGCCCAUGGCCAUGGCACUAUG
rnacentral:lncRNA from 1 species